GGCAAGAUGGCCGAGCGGUCUAAGGCGCUGUGUUCAGGUUUCUUCUGGAAGCUUUCGCAGUGGAGCAAUCCGCGCGAGUUCGAAUCUCGUUCUUGUCA
rnacentral:tRNA from 1 species